rnacentral:rRNA from 1 species
GAUUGAACGCUGGCGGCAGGCUUAACACAUGCAAGUCGAGCGGAGAGAGGUAGCUUGCUACUGAUCUUAGCGGCGGACGGGUGAGUAAUACUUAGGAAUCUGGCUAUUAGUGGGGGACAACAUUUCGAAAGGGAUGCUAAUACCGCAUACGUCCUACGGGAGAAAGCAGGGGAUCUUCGGACCUUGCGCUAAUAGAUGAGCCUAAGUCGGAUUAGCUAGUUGGUGGGGUAAAGGCCUACCAAGGCGACGAUCUGUAGCGGGUCUGAGAGGAUGAUCCGCCACACUGGGACUGAGACACGGCCCAGACUCCUACGGGAGGCAGCAGUGGGGAAUAUUGGACAAUGGGGGGGAACCUGAUCCAGCCAUGCC